AUUUAAAAUGUGCGUGUAAUACGUAGCAUUCGAAGUACUUUGCAGAGAUAUACAUAUGUGGUAAAAACUUUAGCAAACGUUAUAAAAUUUUAUAAGCAUGUUCGGAAAAGAAGCAAUCAAACUCAUAACGGAGCUCGAUAUGUAUGAAGAUAUUCGACCAUUCAAUGAGCAGGUAAUGCGGCAAGUUUUUAAAGAAAUGCAAAGCCUUUACGAGGCCAAUCUGAUAGACAGUAAUGCUAUACAGAAUGAAGGAAACAACGAGUUAUUACCAUCAGUGCAUUUCCGCCAUACAGCCUUGCUCAGGAACAAGAGAUGCAUUCUGGCAUAUCUGUAUCAUCGGAUUAGACGUUUACGACAGAUGCGUUGGGAAUUGGGCAGCAUUUUGCCAACUGAAAUAACCACUAACUUGCUGAAUGCAGAGGUACAAUGGUUUCAGAAUUACAAUAAGUCUCUGGCUACUUAUAUGAAAUCGAUUGGAGAUAAUCAUGGAUUGAAUCUGACUGUGAAUAUGAGCCCUCCAAAGACGCUCUAUGUCGAAGUGAAAUGCUUAGCUGAUUUUGGUAAGUUGGAACUCGAUGAUGGCGAGAUUAUUACUCUCAAAAAGAACACAUAUCAUUUGCUACCAAGAGCUACAUGUGAGCCACUUAUCAGACAAGGAUUACUAAUCGCUGUUAAUAACAGAACAUGGAUAAUAUAAGGGGAAAUCCAUGUAUGUAUGCAAUAUGGCAAAUGAAAGCGAACCAAUAUUUACCUAAGAUUAGUAAGACGUAGUCUCAGUACAGUUUCAGUGAUGUGAACGGAAGAAAGCACAUCG